GAUUAGCUCAAUUGGUUAGAGCCUGGUGCUAAUAACACCAAAGUUGUGGGUUCAAUCCCUCUGUGAUUA
rnacentral:tRNA from 1 species